rnacentral:rRNA from 1 species
CCUACGGGUGGCAGCAGUGGGGAAUAUUGGGCAAUGGGCGCAAGCCUGAACCAGCAACGCCGCGUGAGGGAAGAAGGCUUUCGGGUUGUACACUUCUUUUCUCAGGGACGAAGCAAGUGACGGUACCUGAGGAAUAAGCCACGGCUAACUACGUGCAAGCAGCCGCGGUAAUACGUAGGUGGCAAGCGUUAUCCGGAUUUACUGGGUGUACAGGGGGUGUAGGCGGGAAAGCAAGUCAGAUGUGAAAACCAUGGGCUCAACCUGUGGCCUGCAUUUGAGACUGUUUUUCUUGAGUACUGGAGAGGCAGGCGGAAUUCCUAGUGUAGCGGUGAAAUGCGUAGAUAUUAGGAGGAACACCAGUGGCGAAGGCGGUCUGCUGGACAGUAACUGACGCUGAGGCGCGAAAGCGUGGGGAGCAAACAGGAGUAGAUACCCGAGUAGUC